GGUGAAGUAUCUUCUCAUGUCGAGGCGAAGGCGAAGGGUCUCGAAUCGCGACGAAGGAAGCUGCGAAGGAGCAGAAGAAGGCGAUGGUUGGGUGCGAGUCAGGGCAGAUUGCAGAGGCUAGAUAUGGUGAUGAUGAUGGCGAUGGCGAAUGGGCGGGAGGCGAGAGGGAGGGAAAGAAUAGGGAGCAGGGCCUGUCGUAAUCACAGGGGGAUGUGUCAGGGCUGUCGGCGCUGAUAUUGGGUGGGGUAGAGCUUUUCUAAGUAGGGACUUCUUUCACAACAUGGGAGCAAAAAUGGGAGAUAAGGUGUUACUCAUUGUUGCCGAAGAGGAAGAUGAAGCUCUUAAAUCUUAUUUCUUUUGUUGCAGGUCAAGCUUGUUAUGAAACUAUUACAUGACUCCAGCCCCUAAGAGGAUGAUGUAAAGUAUUGAAGUCUUGAUGAACAAACAUUCUGUUGUAUAAAGGUGUUCAUCUAUUAAGUGGACCCUGUGAUGGAACUAUCUCAGGGUUAUAAGAGGAACAGGAGCAGCUGGAAGGCAGGAGCAGUAAUUAUGGGCCAGUCUAGAACAAAAGAAGAGAAACUUACCCAAAAAGACAAAAAACAAAACAAAAGAAGAGAAGAAUCAGCCCAUAAGGUAAGGUAAUGAAGGGAGGCGAAAGUAAGCUCCAUUGUGACUGGGUUUUUUUUAUC